rnacentral:rRNA from 1 species
UACGGAGGGGACUAGCGUUGUUCGGAAUUACUGGGCGUAAAGCGCACGUAGGCGGAUUUGUAAGUCAGGGGUGAAAUCCCGGGGCUCAACCCCGGAACUGCCUUUGAUACUGCGAAUCUCGAGUCCGGAAGAGGUGAGUGGAAUUCCUAGUGUAGAGGUGAAAUUCGUAGAUAUUAGGAAGAACACCAGUGGCGAAGGCGGCUCACUGGCCCGAUACUGACGCUGAGGUGCGAAAGCGUGGGGAGCAAACAGG